AAACAUUAGAGAGAAGAAAAGACAGCCAAAAAAGAAACAGCCCGAAUUUAUAGGAGAUGCAGAUGAAAUCCGUUCCAGACCUCCAAGGAAAAUUAGCCUUUCUCUGACACACUCCUCAAAAUCCUUCCAGACUUGACCCACUAUUCACCACGGCAGCACAUCACCUCCAGAGUGAAGAAAAGUUUCAAACAUCAGGAAAAAAAAACAGCGCAUUGCAAAACAUAUUAGACUGAACCUAUCGAUGACAAAAUGCAACUGUGAAAUGUUGAGACUGUUCAUCAAAGCUGGACAUAAGCAGGAUCCAUUCCAUUUUCAAAGAGAAAAUCAUGCCAAUAACUCUCUACAAAGGAAACGAUUUCAAAUGAAUACAGGUAAUUAGAAGUGUCAGGAAAUCAG
rnacentral:lncRNA from 1 species